rnacentral:rRNA from 1 species
GAUGAACGCUGGCGGCGUGCCUAAUACAUGCAAGUCGAGCGAACAGACGAGGAGCUUGCUCCUCUGACGUUAGCGGCGGACGGGUGAGUAACACGUGGAUAACCUACCUAUAAGACUGGGAUAACUUCGGGAAACCGGAGCUAAUACCGGAUAAUAUAUUGAACCGCAUGGUUCAAUAGUGAAAGACGGUUUUGCUGUCACUUAUAGAUGGCUCCGCGCCGCAUUAGCUAGUUGGUAAGGUAACGGCUUACCAAGGCAACGAUGCGUAGCCGACCUGAGAGGGUGGUCGGCCACACUGGAACUGAGACACGGUCCAGACCCCUACGGGAGGCAGCAGUAGGGAAUCUUCCGCAAUGGGCGAAAGCCUGACGGGGCAACGCCGCGUGAGUGAUGAAGUUCUUCGGAUCGUAAAACUCUGUUAUUAGGGAAGAACAAAUGUGUAAGUAACUAUGCACGUCUUGACGGUACCUAAUCAGAAAGCCACGGCUAACUACGUG